rnacentral:rRNA from 1 species
UAACCCGUUGAAACUAAGCAUAUCAAUAAGCGGAGGAAAAGAAACCAACAGGGAUUGCCCUAGUAACGGCGAGUGAAGCGGCAACAGCUCAAAUUUGAAAUCUGACCUUCUGGUCCGAGUUGUAAUUUGUAGAGGAUGCUUUUGGCGCGGUGCCUUCCGAGUUCCUGGAACGGGACGCCUUAGAGGGUGAGAGCCCCGUACGGUUGGACACCAAGCCUCUGUAAAGCUCCUUCGACGAGUCGAGUAGUUUGGGAAUGCUGCUCUAAAUGGGAGGUAAAUUUCUUCUAAAGCUAAAUAUUGGCCAGAGACCGAUAGCGCACAAGUAGAGUGAUCGAAAGAUGAAAAGCACUUUGAAAAGAGGGUUAAAUAGCACGUGAAAUUGUUGAAAGGGAAGCGUUUGCGACCAGACCUUUUCGUAGCGGAUCAUCCGGUGUUCUCACCGGUGCACUUCGCUACGUUUAGGCCAGCAUCGGUUUCUGUAGGGGGAUAAAAGCUUUGGGAACGUAGCUCUUUCGGGAGUGUUAUAGCCCUUUGCAUAAUACCCUUCCGGGGACCGAGGACCGCGCUAUAUGCAAGGAUGCUGGCAUAAUGGUCGUCAACGACCCGUCUUGAAACACGGACCAAGGAGUCGAACAUUUAUGCGAGUGUUUGGGUGUUAAACCCUCACGCGUAAUGAAAGUGAACGGAGGUGAGAGCCCUUACGGGUGCAUCAUCGACCGAUCCUGAUGUCUUCGGAUGGAUUUGAGUAAGAGCAUAACUGUUCGGACCCGAAAGAUGGUGAACUAUGCGUGGAUAGGGUGAAGCCAGAGGAAACUCUGGUGGAGGCUCGCAGCGGUUCUGACGUGCAAAUCGAUCGUCAAAUCUGCGCAUGGGGGCGAAAGACUAUCGAACCAUCACGGUGGG